rnacentral:lncRNA from 1 species
UCGGAUGGAGAGGAGGCUUUCUUGCAUUCCCCUCUCAUAUAUAUAUAUAUAUAUAUAUAUAUAUUUAUUUAUUUAUUACCGGUCUUCCUCUUUAUUGAACCGUCUUUAACCAGCGUACCCUCCCAUAACUAUACUCUUCCUUACUCGCCCAAGUAUUACUAUAUAUGUUCUGCUGUGUAAGUCUUCUGACGACUUGAUCUUGGCAGUGGCCGUGAUACUCGUCACUAUUACACCUCGUGGAUAUGACUAUGGCUUGGUCGACCCCUUACCAUUUCUUUUAAUGAUAAUCCACUUGUGGUCAGAUUUUGACCCAUACAGUACUCAACUUACUGACGAAAAUGACAAGAAUAUAGGAGCAGCGGCAUACACAGAAAUUUUUGUAAUUGCUGUCAAUAUUUGAAGAAGUGAACAAGUAAAUUAAUUAGUAUAACGAUAAGUGUUGUCAAUUUCUAUAUUUAUACCCAAAUUUUUUAUCUGUUUCUACAUAUAUAUAUUUACGAAUAUUUUUGACGAAACGGUCAUAAAUAAGGUACCUACGCCCCUGUAUAUAAGUAUGCACCUUGUUUACUGUUGUUUUUUCAGAUUUUCUCUGCCGAAAUCCAACACAAAGUAUCAUACACAACAGCCCAUUUUUAACAUAAAAUCACACCCUUAAUCUUGAUUAGAGAAAAAAAGAAACAGAUAUAUAGAGAACCGUCAUCACCCUUUAAGUAAAAAAAAUAAAAGGGAUGAACAAAAAGUUGCAUUAGAUAUUACUAUGCCUAAUUAUUUCAACUUCAGAAAACUCACAACUUUGGGGAACAAAACACAAUUCUCUGUCCUAGAAGAAAACUCAUACAAAUCAGAAUCCUCAAAAUCCUCUUCUUCUAAUGUAGUUUCCAGCUGAGGAGAAACUGAAAUCUUAUUGGGUGCAAUUAGAACUGCUGGAACUCCAACUUCCAUACAAGAUUUUUGGUUCCCAGUAAACUUGGCCAUUUUUGCAAAAAGAGCAAGAAAGAGUCUAUGGAGACAAAUUCUAGAGAGGUGUUCAGUGUUCGGUCUUUGGCUAUUUUUCAGAAGAUUUGUUGGG